CUGACGGACUGGCCGGCGGGCGGACUGCAGCGUCGCUCCGCCAGCUGCCAGAUAAGCGCCCAGAUCCGGUCGGAAAGGAUUCUUUCUCUCUUCUUCUUCUUCUUCUUCUGUCUUUUUUCUACGCGCCGCCGCAACUUUCUCCGCCUCGGCAGCAGCAGCGGCAGCAGGAGCAGCAGCCGCCCCCCGCGGCUCCGCCGGCGUAGCCUCUCCACUUGCUCCGGGAUCGGUUCUGUGGAUUUCUAACAGACGUGUCGGGUUGGGUUUCUGCCUUCGCUGCUUUCUAUUCUUCCUGUUUUGGACCGGACAGCCCGCGAGGUGUGCAGCCGGGACCGGGUCCUGUCACCGCGGCUUGUUGUCAUUCGCCCAGACGGGGACGCGGAGCCGCAGCCGCUUCCUCCUCCACGCCGCCUCGAAGCGCACGCACACGGUGGUAUGACCAGUUUAAGGACUAACAAAGCUGGACUGGAGGAAUCACAGUAGCUACAGGUUGUGGAACACUAAACCAGGUCCUCUCAAGGUCUUUGGAUUGAUGUGACUGCUGAAAUUCUGUGUACGUUAUAACGCAGCAAGAGGGCUGCAGGCGGAGACACACAAGGUCAUUGUCAGAUGUCCAGGCCAGACCAAACUGAGCACGUGCACAACUCACAGGUCCGGCGGUGAGGAAAGUCCAGCAGGGGAGGUGGUAAAAGGAGGACCUACGAGCAGUUUGUCACGAAGAGAAGUUUUUGGGUUUUCUGUUGGAAAUCACUGCAGGACUCUCCAGUCUUUGGAUGAACUGGACUGAGCGCUACAGGAGUGUCAACUUGGUGUGUUUACAAAAUGGCAGAGGGAGAGAAGCUGUUCUGAUGUUGUCCCCCAAAGCCCCGCCUUUAUUUCCACUUUCUACUUCCU